UGCGUGGGCGGAAUAUUAAGUCAGUGGUGAAAUCCUGCGGCUCAACCGUAGAACUGCCAUUGAUACUGAUAUUCUUGAAUGUAGUUGAGGUAGGCGGAAUGUGUAAUGUAGCGGUGAAAUGCUUAGAUAUUACACAGAACACCGAUUGCGAAGGCAGCUUACUAAACUAUGAUUGACGCUGAGGCACGAAAGCGUGGGGAGCGAACAGGAUUAGAUACCCUGGUAGUCC
rnacentral:rRNA from 1 species